GCGGCUGUAGCUCAGUUGGCUAGAGCGUCUGCUUGCCAUGCAGAAGGUCGUGGGUUCGAAUCCCAUCAGCCGCU
rnacentral:tRNA from 6 species